GGGCGGCUGAGCCGCGGGAGACCGGGCAUUCUGGGAAGCGGCCACGCCCACCGCGAGGGAGGCCAGAGGCUGCAUGUGCCUGGCAGUUGGGGGCCCCGGGACCCCGCCGCAGCAACGCUACAGUCGCUGGUCGUCUCCUGAGCGCCGGCAGCUGUUUACCUCUUCCUAUUUAAUAGUGACUCCUAACCAACCAGGGAACUAUUGGGAAUAAAAAUGAAGACCUGAGUAAAUAAACGGCUAGAAGAUGAAAGCUGAGAUGGGCACAAGUGUGACCUCCAGAUAAUAGCAGGACAUAAUUGGGACCUGCCAACCCAGAGGAGGAUCUGGAGCAAGGGCGGAUGAAGAGGAACCAUGUCUGGCAGCAGAUAGUGGAACCAGUAGAUGAUGAAACUGAGUCCCAGAGAGGUGAAGUGGGCUGCCUGAGGUCACACAGAGGUAUCCACAGAACCAGCCUCAGGGCUUCCCCUCAGAGACACCAGCACCACCGGCCGGCAAACCCUCCGCAAAGGUCAGCACCAUGGGCGCUCCACCAAGCUGCUGAGUUUCAACAGUUCUCACUGUUUCCCUUUGUUCCUCCAGUCCUAGGGAAGCCCUGGCUGAUUCCUGCAGCUGUGACUUCCAGAAUGCUUCAGCGUUCUCUCUUUGCGUUUUUCAGUUCUUCAGUACCUAAUCAACAAUUCUGCAUGUUAGAUUCUCACUGUUGAAAUAACUGGUGUGGGCCAGGGAACGGUGGCUCAGGCCUAUAAUCCCAGCACUUUGAAAUGCCAAGGCAGGCGGAUCGCUUGAGCCCAGGAGUUCCAGACCAGCCUGGGCAACACAGCAAAACCCCGUCUCUACAAAAAAUACAAAAAUUAUCCAGGCCUGGUGGCGCAUGCCUGUGGUCCCAGCUACUUAGGAGGCUGAGGUGGGAAGAUGGCUUGAGCCCAGGAGGUUGAGGCCGCAGUGAGUUCAGAUCGUGCCACUACACUCCAGCCUGGGCAACAGAGCAAGACCUGGUCUCAAAAGCAAGCAAACAAACAAAAAAUUGGUGUGGUGUGGUUUCUGUCUCUUUUUUUUUUUUUUUUUUUGAGAUUCAGUCUUGCUCUUGCCACUAGGCUGGAGUGCAGUGGCACGAUCUCAGUUCACUACAAUCUCCGCCUCCUGGGUUCAAGCGAUUCCCCUGCCUCAGCCUCCCAAGUAGCUGGAACUACAGGCGCUCACCACCAUGCCUGGCUAAUUUUUUGUAUUUCAGUAAAAACAGGGUUUCAUCAGGUUACCGGCCAGGACGGUCUCAACCUCUUGACCUCAUAAUUCACCUACCUCGGCCUCCCAAAGUGCUGGGAUUACAGGUGUGAGCCACCGCGCCCAGCCAGCUUCUGUCUCUUACUGGACCCUGACUGACAGACUCACUGAAUCACUGAACCGUCAAACUCAAGGCUCAGUGUUACAGAGGCAGGAGUCAGGCCCCCCGUACCCCUGACUUGCCUCAUGGCUAAGAGAAACAAUGGCUUCAGCCCCUUGUUCAGGAAUCCUGCGGACUAGAGAUGGAUGAACUGCUCACAGGGAUAUCUAAUCAGCUCUGGAAAAACUGGGCCAACAGUUAAACCACACAAACAAAAGAGCCACAGCUCCACACAGAACAGCCUGCUGGGCAAAUGCCAAAACAAACGGCCAUGGUCUCCGGGCCUCAUCAGGGCUGCAGGCUUCCUGGGCCCUCACGGAGGCCUCUCAAGAAGUAGGGGCAGAGGCCAAGUGCAGUGGCUCAUGCCUGUAAUCCUAUCACUUUGGGAGGCUGAGGUGGGAGGACUACUUGAGCCCAGGAGUUCAAGACCAGCCUGGGCAACAAAGCGAGAUCCCCCAUGUCUGUGGAAUUAAAAAGUUAGCCAGGCAUGGUGGCAGACGCCAGCUUCUCAAGCGGCUGAGACUGAAACAGGAGGAUCACUUGAGCCCCAGGAGGUCGAGGCUGCAGUGAGCCAUGAUCACACCACUGCACUCCAGCCUGGGAAACAGCGAGACUCUGUCUCAAAAAGAAGAGGAAGAAGAGGAGGAGGAGGAGGAGGAACAACA